UAGAUACGGCGUCGCACGCGUUCGCUCGGGAGGAUCCAUUGCAUUGGACCGGACCGGACGAGCCGAGCUUUAAUUCUCGUUUUCUCCCCCUCCGGUUAAAACGUCGAGGAUGGCCGAUGUCAAACAGGAUCACAAGGGCGAGGACGUCGACAGCUAUGGGAUGGGCAACAGCGCCGAUCCGAAGAACAUGCAGGAGCUGACGCAAUACGUGCAAACGCUGUUGCAGAACAUGCAGGACAAGUUUCAAACCAUGUCUGACCAGAUCAUAGGAAGAAUAGAUGAAAUGGGUAACAGAAUAGACGACCUGGAAAAAAAUAUCGCAGACCUAAUGACACAAGCAGGAGUCGAAGGAGGUGAUAAAUAAGCUCGUUCUUUCUUCAAUGCACUCAUCUAUAAAUAACGACUUAUCUAAAGUAUCGUUGUACUUUAUUGUCAUGGAAAAAAAAUGUAUACAGAUAAUAACUGAGAUAUCGACUAAACCAAUAUAACAAUUAGAUUACUCAACUUCAAUGGAGUGCAGGUUACAUUGAUUCUUAUAUA